GGGGAAUAUUGGACAAUGGGGGCAACCCUGAUCCAGCGCUGCCGCGUGGGUGAAGAAGGCCUUCGGGUUGUAAAGCCCUUUAGGUUGGGAAGAAGGUUAGUGGAGGAAAUGCCAUUAAUUUGACGGUACCAACAGAAUAAGCACCGGCAAACUCUGUGCCAGCAGCCGCGGUAAUACAGAGGGUGCGAGCGUUAAUCGGAUUUACUGGGCGUAAAGGGCGCGUAGGCGGUGAGAUGUGUGUGAUGUGAAAGCCCCGGGCUCAACCUGGGAAGUGCAUCGCAAACUGUCUGACUGGAGUAUAUGAGAGGGUGGCGGAAUUUCCGGUGUAGCGGUGAAAUGCGUAGAGAUCGGAAGGAACGUCGAUGGCGAAGGCAGCCACCUGGCAUAAUACUGACGCUGAGGCGCGAAAGCGUGGGGAUCGAAC
rnacentral:rRNA from 1 species